AGGAAACAGCAGUAACAUCUUCUCAGCCUCGUCCUCAAAGGGAGAUUUCCUGUAACAUAAAGAGCAAUGAUUUUUGGCUCAUUUCAUGUUCUAAACACCACCAUCAAAAGCCAGGAAUGUACACGGGAAUUGUGGUCCCUACACUGUCACCUCUCUGUACUAUGUGGAGAAGCCCCACUGCCUGGGUACUGUAAAUGAUGUCAUGAUGGAAACUGAGCAGCACCUGGAGAGGUUGAGAGACAUGGGAGACGUGGACCGAGCAAUGGCUUCCCAGGUCAGC